rnacentral:lncRNA from 1 species
GAUCACUGUGUUCUGGAAAGAGUUGAUCGAUCCGAGACUGAUUAUUGACUCUUCAAGUAGCAUCUCAAGUAAAUAAUGUGUCUGCAAAUACCCUCUGACCUUGCCGCCUUGAAUUCUAUAAUUGUUUGUGACCGUGGUUAUAGCCUGAAGUUUUUAAAAAGAAGGCUAAAUGUUGUUUAGACUUUUUGUUAUCUUCACUUUACCAUAUUAGGAAAAAAAAAUCUACCUCAUCAUUUAGAGUAACGAAGUUGCUAGUAUGUAGAUCCUUAUUUCCUUCGGGCUAAGUUCAGUAACCCAUUUGAAAAACCGGGUGCAGACCAGUAAGACAGUGCGCUUGACUCCUCCCCACCUGUCCGGCUCCCAGUAGCAAUCAUCAGUAGGAGUUUACAGUGCCACACCCAAGAAUGUGCUGUGCGUCUUGUCUUGUUUUUAAGUCACUUUAAACUACUAAGGCAUGUUUCUUGACUUAAUUUUUAACACGUGAGCUGUUCUGUUACGCACAGAGCAUCUCCCACAUUCCACACAUUUUAUGCUUGCUAUCCUCGAGAGUUAGUGGAGUUGGAUUUGUCGGGGCGACAGGUUACAGAGUCCUUUCACAUCUUCCAGCUGGAAAAUACAGGGCCCUUAGGACCCUGUGCCGACUGCAGUGGGGAGACAUGGUUGUUGUAUCAUCUGGAGAAGACAUGGUCUCCCAGAAGGCUGGCCAUGAACCUCAGACCAGGCUGGGGCAAGUGACCUUGUCACACAGUGCCAGGAACUUGGCUUCUCAUACUGAAGUGAGGAUCUUAAACAGAAAUGUCCUUUUCUGUUAUUAUCCACCACGAAGCUAAAGGCUGAAUAUAAACUGCAAAUUGCUUUCUUUUAAUGAAAACUCAGAUCCCUCCUUCAGCCUUGCAGAUUUUUAAAUAAAACCAUAUCAAACUC